AUUUUCUUUUCAAUAUUUUUGUUAUUUUGAUAAUUUUUAAUCUUACAGCUGUUCCUAUACUCAAACUGUGUGACUCUUUGCGUGAUGAUGUGCUGCCCGCUCUUGGUGUCCGCCUAGAAGAUCAAGAAGGACUGAAAGCUGCUAUUAAACUCGUUGAUCCAGCUGUACUAGCUAAAGAAAAA